rnacentral:lncRNA from 1 species
UGAACCACCUACUGUAACAGCUGGCUAGACACCACAGCCCUGCGGCCCUGCAGCCCAGCCACGUCUUUUUAGCUUCACCUCGACGGCCUUGCUCUUGACCUGAAAUCACCAUCACCUUAAUGGGCUAGAAAAGGUUUCCCCACUGCGAGCCCUUCGAGAACAAUGUCAUGUUGAUCGAUGGCAGUGACUCACACCAGAUCUUUCCAUGCCUCCUCUGCAAGGACUCAAGAGAGUCGAGAGCAAAACCGUGCCAUAGUUCCAUAAGGAGGGCAAAGAGCUUUAUCCACGCUGAGGAACAGGCGGAUCAUGCGGCUACAGCACUGGUCUUUACCUUUUAACUGCUUGAUUCGAAACAUUCCAGCCAGGAACAGUGGCUCACACCUGUAAUCCCAGCACUUUGUGGGGCCAAGGCAGGUGGAUUGCUCGAGCUCAGGAGUUCGAAACCAGCCUGGGCAACCUGGCAAAACCUCAUCUCUACAAAAAAAUACAAAAAUUAGCCAGGCCUGGUGUGUGUGCCUGUGGUUCCAGCCACUCGGCAGGCUGCGGCCAGAGGAUCACUUGAGCCCAGGAAGUGGAGGCUGCAGUGAGCUGAGAUCGUGCCGCCACACUCCAGCCUGGGUGACAGAGCCAGACAUUGUCUCUAAAAAAAAAAAAAAAAGAAAAGAAAAGAAAGAAAAAAGAGAAAUAGUCCAAGACUAGGGAGAAAACCUUCUUUGGGGUCAGUGUGAACCAUUCUUUCAUUUGUUCAGCAAAUGCUUACUGAGGAGCUACUGUGUCCCUGAAAUUGCCUCCACCUCCAAGAAGACAGUGACAGAGUCUCACACAAUUCCCUGGGCUGGAGUGCAGUGGUGCGAUCAUGGCUCACUACUGCAGCAUCAACCUCCUGGACUCAAGCAAUUCUCCUGCCUCAGCCUCCCGAGUAGCUGGGACUAUAGGUGCCCAACACCAUUGCCCCGCUAUUUUUUUAUUUUUUAUUUUUUAUUUUUUGUGGAGACAGGGCUUUGCCAUGUUGCUCAGGCUGGUCUCAAACUCCUGGGCCCAAGUGAUCCUCCUGCCUCAGUCUCCCAAAGUGCCAGAUUUACAGGUGUAAGCCACCGCGCCCAGCCAAAUCAGCCUUCUAAAGAGCUUAAUUUUCCAUCACUGACUUUGUGUUCUUUUAUACAAAGGUUGCAGACUCCGAGGCUGAAACCCCUUUCUGACCGGUAGCUCUAGAGUAAACAAACGCCUGGACUUUCUUCAUCCCCUGAAGACAAAGAACUUGUUCAUGAGCCUCUCCAGGCAGCUCGUGGUCUGAGCUGUCAGGAAUGACGGAUGAGCAGCUGCUUUUGCCGGCGCCUCCGCGGCAGCUAAGGUAGCGCUCACAGGACUGUCUACACCAUGGACUCAGUGUUCAGGUGUUCAGGGAGUUAUUAUUGGAGCAGCUCACUCUAUCUUAAGGCAGACAGCCCCGGGCAAAGCGCAGCGGAUAAACACAAGUGACAUCUUAUGAAACCUAAGUUCAUGUGAAAUCCUAGAUAAUUCUGUUGUCAGAAGUGAAAAUAUA